UAUUUGCUUUGGUCUCAUAUACCCUAUAUCACAAAGGGAGAUGGUGAAUUCAACAUUCAUUGGCAGGAAGACGAUAGAUGACGUUUUCUGGCUCAAUGUUCUUCAUGGAAGAAGCAUUUCAAAAGGAAAAGGGCAAAGGAAAAGAAAAAUUCUGUUUGAUGAGAAAAUAGAGAAUUAGUGGAAAAUGAAUAAAUGAGAGGAAUGCUCUAAGUGACCCUACCUAAACAGGACUUAUAAAGAAAAGAGAAGAAAUGGAAUAUUCAGAACAAUUUCCCCUGGACUCUGAAGAUCUUUUCUAUAUACAUCCUCAAAAUUGUCAGUACUGCCCCUUCUUCACCCAAGGAACAAAAUGCUUAUUCAUCUUUUCUUGGAUGAUGGUUCAACAUCUCAGUGUUCCAGUAAAACAGAUAGCAAACUUUGUUGCUCCAAGAACUAAGCCUCUAGUACAAAAUGAAGAUGCUGCCAGGGAGCCGUGUAAGGCAAGUGAUCCAUAUCUGUACCAGUAACGAGUUGCUUCCAUUGAGACACUGUUAAUUCUCCUCUGCCCCAACGACUGUAGCAUCCAAACUGGCUGUAGAGUAAGUUUCCAGGCUGGUGCUAACUCUCAAGCCGUGGCUGGGAGCUGUUGGAUCAGUGCUUGCUGGCCAGUGUUAAAAUCAUGACAAGGCCCAUUCUAACAUUUUCAUAAUGUGUGUGCUAGUACUCGACUAUGUGCUUUAAACCCUUUUUAUUAUUCAAGAGGUAGUUAAAGCAUCAAUGUUGGCUUACAAAGGUACUGUACAGGUGAUAGGACUAGGUGCUUCCUCUUCAUCUUUUCCUCCUAGAUCUUGCACUUUAUGAACAUGUCCAUGGCCUUUCUUAAGGAACCAGGCAGCCCCAUCCACAGGCUAUGCCUGCACUUUCUACCUGUUGGUUUGCUAGACUUCAAACCAAGCUCAAACCUAAUAGGGUAGAUAUGGAUGGGUUCCCCUCAUCUGUUCAGGUCCUUUUUUCUAUGGAUUGCAUUACACUCUGCACAAACUCAGCCUCACUGAUCUGUACAUUUGAAAAAAAAAAAUGUAUAUAUAUAUAUGUUAGCCAGGUUCACAUCUUUGUACAUUUAGUAUGUUCAGCUAUUACUGCUGCCUACAGGACCUUUCCAUCUUAGGUUUCUGCCUCACCAAGGAACUCCACAUCAUUACCUCAGAGACUUUAUUAAUGUCUUUUAGCCUAACUUUAUAAAUUAUUUUGCAUUUUUUAUACACCUAGCCCAAAUAACACUUUUGUUGUUACUAUUCCUUAUUAUUAUUAUUAUAAUUUUUAUUACAGUUAGUGCUUCUGUAUUGACUGUUCAGAGAGGAAAAGAACUCAUUGAAAUGGUGGCAAACACACUGGAAAGAUUCCUCUAAAAUGGAAAACUGUUUUGACUUUUUGCAUUUUAUUCUCAAAGAGAGGUCUUUUAUCGACACCAGCUCAGCACCUUGGAGAGAAAAAUGGUGUCUUGAAAAGGGCUUUUAAUCCCUGAGGUUGGCUGUGGUUUUGUUUUUGUUGCUGUUGUUGUUUUUCUUUUCGCUAGACUUUGUAAACACUAUUUUUUUCUCUGAAAAGGUAAUGCAUAUAAUUGUGGGAACUUCCAUCUAUUUUGUAAGCAAUAUGGUCUAAGCAUAAUAAAUUUAAAAAAUAUU